rnacentral:misc_RNA from 1 species
UCGAGCGUCAUUACACCCUUCAAGCUAUGCUUGGUAUUGGAUCUCAUUCAUGAAAUAUUGGAUGUUUCCGAAAACGAGUGGCAGUUGAUCAAAACCUCAGGCGAUUUGAUAUUUUCACGCAGUGAACGUUUAGUCGGCUCGCCAGAAAACUUUUACAAUUCUUUGACCUCGGAUCAGGUAGGGAUACCCGCUGAACUUAA